AAUGAAGGGGAUGAUGUCUUCCUUUGUGAAUAUGAGUAUGAUGUCCAGUGGCAAGCCUUCAAGCGCAUAUCUGAGACU